AAGACGGUCAGGAGAGAGACCCUUUUUGAAAUCGAGGGCGCCGAAGGGGCAAUCGACCCGCGGAGGGGCCGAAAACUCUCAGGCAAAAGGAUCCUGGCCUGACG
rnacentral:ncRNA from 2 species